UGUAUGCCAGUCACAGUACAAAGAGUGCAAAACCAAUUUCACGUCCUUAGUUCGCAAAGAAACAGGGGACGCAUUCAUUGAAAUGCUAGCUUCACUAUAAGAUGACAAAUGAGGUGGUGGACAAGUGUGCCCAGUGUCAUGUGGUGGACAUGCUGGAAAGGGAACGAGGAGCUCUGCCUGCCUCCCAGAAGAGAUGGGAUUGGAGCCAGGCCUUCAGGAAUGUUGUGCACUUCUGGCACUUGGCAGAGGGUCGGGGGCUGCAGCCUAUCCAGAGAGAACAAAGUAGGAAAGCACAGAGCGUGUGUGGGGAGCAACAGGUGGUAUGAUGUGACUAGUAGGGAGUGGGAGUUACAGUGCAAAUGCUAGUGGUGGACAGGUCAUGAAAAGCACAGGGCUGGGUCUAUCCUGGGAACUUUCCUACUCCUUUGUUGACCUUCAGAAUCUUUCUAAAAUUCUAAGUCUAAAUACUCUAAGUCUAAACAUUCUAGAAUGUUGGAAAAUAAGAGAAAUAACCAGGCUAUGUUUUGGUUGGUGGUAGUAGCAGUGAAGGCCUUGUCGUCCUCCUUCUCCUCCAUCCCCUCCUUUAUCUACUUCUCUUCCUUGUCUUCCUGAUGUAAAAUACUAAGAAUGCAUCUAUUUGUUAUAGUUUUGCAAACAACAGUGCAUAGAGCGCCUGGGCACAGGGAAAUUUGGGUGCCACUCUGUACUAGUUUUCUAUUCAGAAACAAGAUGCAGUUAUCUCAUAGUUAUAAAAUUGUUAAUGAGUUGAGACACUGUGCUAACCAUGAGCCACUCAGAGGCUGGAGCUGCUGUAGAGAGCUCUGGAGAUGACUGGGUAGAAUGUCAGAAUUGAAAUGACCUCAAAGCCCUAUUGUGCCCAAAUGGCCCUUGACAUGAAUGGGGAUGUUCUUGCUCAGGCUGUGGCUACAGAAAAAGAAACUGGCCCACUAUCCCUAGAUGAUUAUGCAGUCUUUGCAAAUGGGCAUGGCCAUAAGUUUCUUUCCCCCAAACUAAGCCUGUUGAUCACAUGGGAAGCUGCUCAUCUGAGAGGCUCUGUCCAUAACUGCAUUGGAAACGGUCACGUGGUUGGGAAGAAAGCUACUCGGAAAAGAAGGCCAGCAAAAAAUUGUCUGAAAAGCAGAGAAGUCCCUCCCUGA
rnacentral:lncRNA from 1 species